rnacentral:misc_RNA from 1 species
UAAUUGAUUACAUUGUUUACUGACGCGGAUUGCUAUUACAAAAAGGUUUAUGGUUGGUCCUGGUGGCGGGCGAGCCCGCCCAGGAAACAAGAGGUACGCAAAAGACACGGGUGAAUAGUUCAGCAGGGCCGGCCACCCAAACCGCGCACCGCCGUGAAGCAGUGCCCAGCUAGGGGGGUUUGUCCAGCCCGCCUUCAUAUUGUGUAAUGAUCCCUCCGCAGGUUCACCUACGGAGA